UUACACAUUUUCAAAGCACGAAAUGUGUAGAAACCAUGUACCAUGUAGCAAGAACUCCAAAACGAGGUGCAACCCUCUGGAUGCCCAAGUUCCUUCCUGAGGUACAUAUGGUUUAUUAAUUUUAUAGCCACAGGUAAAUUCAGCUCCGUGCGAGCACAAUUCUUGAACAACGAACGUUCACGUUUCAAAUGUUUAAUAAUGUGCGUCAGAAAAACACAACAACUCUGCUACAGGUAGUUAAGGCAGCCAGUAACAAUUGUCGAACGUCACCAACCCGUUCAAAUCCUGGAAUAUCGCACAGCGGGAUAGCCAAACAGCUCCAUUAAAACACAUGCCAAUGUCAUCUGUACUGACACGAGUCCAAUACACCCAAUACCCUCUUCGGUCGAGACGUUCUGACAAUGUUUGCCAACUACUGCGUCUUUCGUUUUCUGCUGGAAAAAAUGUGGUUUAGACAAUCCUUUCUAGUCUUUAACAACAGAUUGUGUGGAGUUCCCAGAAUAUAUUAAAAAAUAGGUUUAUGUUUAUUUGCGUUGACGUUACUGGAGUUUUAAAUUUCUGAAUGCUGCUUUUUUUCUUUAAUGGCGUUUUCCUGUCGUGUCCGGUUCAACUAAACGGGCAGACAACAACUACCUAGCUCCUUUGAUAGGACACCUGGAUCGUUCUAAAUUACGAACAUGCGUGGGUUUACGGAUCUAGCCUACUAUAAAUAGCUGCCACCACACAAGUUCUUCACUCCAGCCCUGGACCAGGCACAGAAGACAUCACAGUCAUCUACAACUCUAGGUUUGGAACCCGAACUAGCUUCAGGAACAAUGGCAAACUGGGGCGGCUCUCCCAAAGUGACCCUCUUCGAGAAACCCAAUUUUUGCGGUUGCCGUCUUGAUGUCUACAUGAAUCUUCCAGAAUUGGGGAACUUUGACAACACGGUUUCCUCGGCCGUUGUACACGAGGGAGAUUGGGCCCUUUACUCCGAGAUCAAAUACUCUGGAGCGCGGUUGGUCAUAAAAGAAGGACAGUGCUACGCUACACUUCCUGGCGUGAAUAACGCUGCUUCCUCCAUCUGUAAAAUGUGAGAUGAAGACAACGCAAAGCAACAGCCAGCUCUUUCAUUGAUGGAAGACUCGCCGAUAUGACAACAACUUGUUUACUAUUCUCCUAAGCACGUACACUGACGAUACCUACAUUCUCUACAUAUUUGUCAACAAAGGUUGUGUUAUAACCUCCCUGUAUCUGCAUAAUCUUCUAGAAUGUUCUGUUGAAGCAACUGCAGUUAGAAAAGAAUUUGAAUUUGUAUAAAAGGAAGAAUUGUACAGAUUUGAC